rnacentral:rRNA from 1 species
CCUACGGGGGGCUGCAGUCGAGAAUCUUCGGCAAUGGGCGAAAGCCUGACCGAGCGACGCCGCGUGCGGGAUGAAGGCCCUCGGGUUGUAAACCGCUGUCGUAGGGGAGGCCUAUCCUAGGAGGAAGUACGGGCUAAGUUCGUGCCAGCAGCCGCGGUAAUACGAACCGUACAAACGUUAUUCAGAAUCACUGGGCUUAAAGGGUGCGUAGGCGGCCAUGUAAGUGGGGUGUGAAAUCCCUCGGCUCAACCGAGGAACUGCGCUCCAUACUGCAUGGCUUGAGGGAGACAGAGGUAAGCGGAACUGAUGGUGGAGCGGUGAAAUGCGUUGAUAUCAUCAGGAACACCGGUGGCGAAAGCGGCUUACUGGUCCUUCUGACGCUGAGGUACGAAAGCUAGGGGAGGAACGGGAUUAGAUACCCUAGUAGUC